ACACAAUCCUGCUCCAGACACCGCCGCUUCAUUCCCACGCGAUGGACACGAUGCAGCGCGACGCUUUCACGCCUCUGCUGGAGGAUUUUCUGCGCUCUCCUCUGGUGUGCUGGGUGGGUGAAGAGCGGAUCUGCCGCGCCGCGCCGCGAUGGUGUGCUGAGCCUCAUCUCUCUCUCUCUCUCUGUGUGUGUGUGUGUUUGUGUGUCUGACUGUGUGUGUGUGUGUCUGACUGUGUGUGUGUGUCUGUGUGUGUCUGUCUGUGUGUGUGUGUCUGUCUGUGUCUGUCUGUGUGUGUGUGUGUCUGUCUGUGUCUGUCUGUGUGUGUGUGUGUCUGUCUGUGUCUGUCUGUGUGUGUGUGUGUCUGUCUGUGUCUGUCUGUGUGUGUGUGUGUCUGUCUGUGUCUGUCUGUGUGUGUGUGUGUCUGUCUGUGUCUGUCUGUGUGUGUGUGUGUCUGUCUGUGUCUGUCUGUGUGUGUGUGUGUCUGUCUGUGUCUGUCUGUGUGUGUGUGUGUCUGUCUGUGUCUGUCUGUGUGUGUGUGUGUCUGUCUGUGUCUGUCUGUGUGUGUGUGUGUCUGUCUGUGUCUGUCUGUGUGUGUGUGUGUCUGUCUGUGUCUGUCUGUGUGUGUGUGUGUCUGUCUGUGUCUGUCUGUGUGUGUGUGUGUCUGUCUGUGUCUGUCUGUGUGUGUGUGUGUCUGUCUGUGUCUGUCUGUGUGUGUGUGUGUCUGUCUGUGUCUGUCUGUGUGUGUGUGUGUCUGUCUGUGUCUGUCUGUGUGUGUGUGUGUCUGUCUGUGUCUGUCUGUGUGUGUGUGUGUCUGUCUGUGUCUGUCUGUGUGUGUGUGUGUCUGUCUGUGUCUGUCUGUGUGUGUGUGUGUCUGUCUGUGUCUGUCUGUGUGUGUGUGUGUCUGUCUGUGUCUGUCUGUGUGUGUGUGUGUCUGUCUGUGUCUGUCUGUGUGUGUGUGUGUCUGUCUGUGUCUGUCUGUGUGUGUGUGUGUCUGUCUGUGUCUGUCUGUGUGUGUGUGUGUCUGUCUGUGUCUGUCUGUGUGUGUGUGUGUCUGUCUGUGUCUGUCUGUGUGUGUGUGUGUCUGUCUGUGUCUGUCUGUGUGUGUGUGUGUCUGUCUGUGUCUGUCUGUGUGUGUGUGUGUCUGUCUGUGUCUGUCUGUGUGUGUGUGUGUCUGUCUGUGUCUGUCUGUGUGUGUGUGUGUCUGUCUGUGUCUGUCUGUGUGUGUGUGUGUCUGUCUGUGUCUGUCUGUGUGUGUGUGUGUCUGUCUGUGUCUGUCUGUGUGUGUGUGUGUCUGUCUGUGUCUGUCUGUGUGUGUGUGUGUCUGUCUGUGUCUGUCUGUGUGUGUGUGUGUCUGUCUGUGUCUGUCUGUGUGUGUGUGUGUCUGUCUGUGUCUGUCUGUGUGUGUGUGUGUCUGUCUGUGUCUGUCUGUGUGUGUGUGUGUCUGUCUGUGUCUGUCUGUGUGUGUGUGUGUCUGUCUGUGUCUGUCUGUGUGUGUGUGUGUCUGUCUGUGUCUGUCUGUGUGUGUGUGUGUCUGUCUGUGUCUGUCUGUGUGUGUGUGUGUCUGUCUGUGUCUGUCUGUGUGUGUGUGUGUCUGUCUGUGUCUGUCUGUGUGUGUGUGUGUCUGUCUGUGUCUGUCUGUGUGUGUGUGUGUCUGUCUGUGUCUGUCUGUGUGUGUGUGUGUCUGUCUGUGUCUGUCUGUGUGUGUGUGUGUCUGUCUGUGUCUGUCUGUGUGUGUGUGUGUCUGUCUGUGUCUGUCUGUGUGUGUGUGUGUCUGUCUGUGUCUGUCUGUGUGUGUGUGUGUCUGUCUGUGUCUGUCUGUGUGUGUGUGUGUCUGUCUGUGUCUGUCUGUGUGUGUGUGUGUCUGUCUGUGUCUGUCUGUGUGUGUGUGUGUCUGUCUGUGUCUGUCUGUGUGUGUGUGUGUCUGUCUGUGUCUGUCUGUGUGUGUGUGUGUCUGUCUGUGUCUGUCUGUGUGUGUGUGUGUCUGUCUGUGUCUGUCUGUGUGUGUGUGUGUCUGUCUGUGUCUGUCUGUGUGUGUGUGUGUCUGUCUGUGUGUGUGUGUCUGUGUGUGUGUGUGUGUAG
ensembl:lncRNA